rnacentral:lncRNA from 1 species
AUCUCAGACAACAGGUACCCAUGGAGAGAGUUUCCAAAUCUCUAAUAUUCAGCUACCCUUUGGUAAAGCUGCCUGGUUUUAUUUAGGAUAUACAUAUUGGUCCUUUAGAAGACAAAUGAGUUUUGACUUUCUGGCUGCCAUUUAAUUUGUCCUUUAGCCAGCCUGCUGAGGAAGGAUGUCCAGCUAAUGAAACACGUACGUGGAACUAUCUCUGCAAAACCAGCUCCCUGGGCUCCUUUGGGCCACUAGACUGAGGAGCAACCUGGUAUGACAGCUCUCCCUCAAAGAGAUGCAAGUAGCUUCCAGGGAAUGAAGAAGCAGAGCAGCUGCCAGGGAAGGAGGUGCUGAUUGUGUGAGUGUGGCCCCAGUUAAAGAGGGACUGCUGUCCUUCAGCACACAGCCCCUCAGCACCCGUGUGAAAUACAUGAUUUCAUCUCAAACUAAGGAUCACGGGCAUUUCCCAGCUCCUGAGCUGAAGCUGGUGCUACAAAUGUGUUCCACAUCAACAACAGCAUUCCAGCUGGGGUCCUUUUGGUGCUGUCUGAUGGCACUUGAAUGCUUCCCAUGGGAUCCUCCUUUCCAGAGCACUGCUGAAAUCACAUUGAGAUGUUCCUCUUGGAUAAGAUAAAGAUGGUGACAGCUCAUCAAACAGAACAGCUGAAUGUAUCACCAAACAUUAUGCCAAAAUGUUGAAAGAAUCAUUUCCCUGCUUCAGGCAUGGUUCUCAAAGAAGCAAUCCCACCCCUAUAAGAGUUUCUGUGGCACCAGCAAUAAAAUAAAAGUCUCUGUAAUUUUCCUGCA